rfam:West Nile virus strain EthAn4766, complete genome
GGGCCUUCUGGUCGUGUUCUUGGUCACCCAGGAGGUCCUUCGCAAGAGGUGGACAGCCAAGA